rnacentral:rRNA from 1 species
UCCGGGCAGAAUGAUGCCUGGGUGGUACAGCGAAAGCGUUAAGUAUUCCACGUGGGGAGUACGCCGGCAACGGUGAAACUCAAAGGAAUUGACGGGGGCCCGCACAAGCGGAGGAACAUGUGGUUUAAUUCGAUGAUACGCGAGGAACCUUACCCGGGCUCAAACGACGGAUGGAUGUUUCUGAAAGGAGGCAGUCCUACGGGACAUCCGUCGAGGUGCUGCAUGGUUGUCGUCAGCUCGUGCCGUGAGGUGUCGGCUUAAGUGCCAUAACGAGCGCAACCCCCAUCGCCAGUUACCAGCAAGUAAUGUUGGGGACUCUGGCGAGACUGCCGGCGCAAGUUGUGAGGAAGGCGGGGAUGACGUCAAAUCAGCACGGCCCUUACGUCCGGGGCGACACACGUGUUACAAUGGCAGGUACAGAGAGAAGCGAUGCGGCGACGCAGAGCGGAACUUCAAAGCCUGUCUCAGUUCGGAUUGGAGUCUGCAACCCGACUCCAUGAAGCUGGAUUCGCUAGUAAU